UCCAAUAUUCGGUGGGUCCUCAGUUUGUUUCAAUCUUUUACUUCCACUAGUUCUUUAAGGGAGACAGUUCUUUCCUUUGCAGUUUGUUUAAAUUUGGAGA